UAUCUAUUCUAUUAAUUGGGAAAGAUUAGAUAAUAUAUAACCUUAUUAAGUGUAAAUAAUUACAAGAGAUGCCAUUGGAAUAAGUGAAAUCAAAGAGCAAACAAAAAAAAACGAUUAAGGGUAAAUCGGUCACUUCAACAAGUCAAUACACGCGGAUCUUGGGUCUGAUUAAAAAGCGGAUCUUGGGUCGGAUUGAAAAGCGGAUCUUGGGCUGGAUCCGUGAAUAGAACCGAAGUUGUUAAUGAUAUAUCUCUAACAUAACCGAAUCUGUUUAUAAGAUAUUUCCAAAUCUCCUGCACACAAUAAUAACUAACCAAAUUUGAGUUUUAUUAUUUAGAGAAUAAAUCUUAACGUACCUAGAAUAUUUCCUUUAUAUCAUACCGAUUUGGAAACAUACCAAGAAUUUCGCACAAAUAUAACAAAGAUCUAUGUAAGCCUUAUUUGUCAACCUCCAUAAUUAUUAUAUAUUAUGAUACUUUUGGUUGUUGAUUUGAAAUGGCAAUAUUCACGACUUUCCAAAUACAAAUCGAAUUCGAAUUAUUGUCGGGUAGUUAUGGCAAGUGCUAAUCAUUAGGGUGAUUUAUCUUAUUCUAAAUUCCUUAUUAUCUAUAUUUAAUUGAUAAUUGUUAUUAUUAUUAUUUUGCAGAAAAAUAUAAUACCCAAUGUUCGACGUCCACGUGGUAGUAAUCUUCAUCCUUACCAUAAAAAGUUAAAAACGAUUCUAAUCAAUUUUUAAAUACAAAUUAUGGAAAAAUUUAAACUCAAAUAAUAUAUCAUCUUCGCAAUUUAAGAAAUAAUUAAAUGGAAUCAUUAAUUGCUAUAUUUGCGAGGCGGUUUCGAAUAUUAGACGUCAACAGUAAUUAUAGAUGCCAUAAAUAAUCUUAACAAUAUAUCAUAAUCUUUUGAAAUUAAGCAUAUACCACGAAUCUUUUUUUUUUUAAAUUAAGAAAACGAUAUUAUUUUGCUUUUUAUGGUUGAAACCCGAAAUAUAUUAGCCGAUUUUCUUAAUCUAUAAAUAAAGGAUUCGCUUCACAUAUUCAGCACUCACUAAUCAUUUGAACCUUCUCCUUUUUAUUGCUAUAUAUAUUUCAGUAAAAAAAAAAAAGGCUGCAAAUCUUGGUUUCACGAGCCUUGCUCACAUCAAACCUUUCAAACAAGUUAGAGGAUUCAAGUAAGAAUAUUGCAUUUUUGUGGACUCACUACAUGAUGCAUUUGUAAGCGUCUAUGCACCUAUCGAUUUAUGUUUGUAUGCUUUUUUUUAAAUAAAAAUGUUUAUAUGCUUCUAAUUAAGAUUUUCAAUGUAUUUAAAUAUGAUUUUAUAGUUUUUUUAAAGGGCACCCUGAUUCAUGCUAUGUCAAGAAGCAACAAGUCAACAAGCUUCAAAGGUUUAUCAAAACAGGAGAGCAGCGAAUUUUUGAAAGUUAUGUGCCUCACUUUGAUAAUAUGUAUUUUGAAAAUAAUCGAAAACUGUUUAGUACUAAGGUAAAAACCCUUAACCUUUGUCUUUAUCAUUUGAUUUCUAAUGUGUUUUGUCUAAUUGAUGUUAGACUAACUAAUGAUGUUAAGCUGUUUUUUGAAAAUUUUCCAUUACAGGUUGACAGUGCUCUUCAGAUAAAGAUAAAGUCUUAUCCUUUUCUAGAACAUGUAGGACUUUUUCUUUUCUAGAUUAUACUGUCUAUGUAUUUUGUUUAUAUAGUUUCUCGAGUUUUGAUUAUUAAGACAUAUUAAAUAACAUUACUAACCUCUGUUUUAAAUAAAAUGGCAUGAGCUUGCAUAUGCUGUUUUUCUUUUCUUCAUAUUGUGAUUCACACCAACAAUUCUUCACACUUUUAACAUCAAUGUUAAUCUGUCAAAAGGAUAAUAAACAUGUUAAUAUAAUACAUCUGCUGUAACAAGUAUUGUUUCUUUGAUUUUAUAAGUUCGCAUGUCUAACAUAGAAGGGAAUACAUAAUCUUUUGUUUCAUCUUAUCAUCACUGUUGUUACUUAUUGUAACUAGACAAUACAGAAACCAACUAAUGUUAUUGUCUUUCAAUAAGAGAGAAAAUAUAUUAGAAAGGUCAUAUAAGUUAAAUCGUAGCAUCAUAUAUCUUAUAUGCAUAAAGCCUCUAUAUAAGUUAUUCAAGGGAUACUUCUAAUACUUUUAAAAAUUCAUCGUUCAUCAAGUGAAUUUGAUAACUAUUUGUUAAUUAGCAAAAGGAAAAUAGUUUGUCAAAACUAUGUUCUUAACGUGUAAUACUAAUUAUUUAGAAAUUGACAUAAUACUUUUGAAUCAUUAAAAUGAUAUUCUCACUCCAUCAAUUUCACUAAAAACCAUAGCAAUUAACGACAUACUAUAUAUUGAGGAUUAGUGUCUAAAGAGCUUCAAUCUUAGACAUGUGUGUUCAAUCUUAGAAUUAUAUUCAAAUCUAUAAAGAAACACAUCACAUGUUUAAGAGUAGAAGAAAUUAUUGAAAGAAAGUUUAGCUAACUUUUUAGAAAUAGAAGAAUUCGAGACCUGCGAAUAUUGUCCACAUGCGAGAGGACAAAAAGACAAAGCGGUGGAUCAGAGGAGAGGUAAGUUUCGUAUACCACAAAACCGAUCAGAUUCGCGGCGGAGGAGAUUCCUGAGACCGCGGCGGCAGUAGCGAUAUAUGUGGUGGCGGAUUUGAAACGGUGAGGAGUAGUGGAAGAGGUGGAUGAAAGCGGAGAAGAUGAGUGAAGAUCGAGCAAGUAGUAUGGGCUCAUUGUGGGCUUUAUCAAAUAAUGG
rnacentral:lncRNA from 1 species